UUGCUUUCGGGUAAUUGAGAGUGGCGAACGGGUGCGUAACGCGUAUGCAACCUACCCUAUACAGGGGGAUAGCCCGGAGAAAUCUGGAUUAAUACCCCAUGGUAUCAUUUGACUGCAUGGUUUAAUGAUUAAAGAUUCAUCGGUAUAGGAUGGGCAUGCGUCUGAUUAGCUAGUUGGCGGUGUAACGGACCACCAAGGCAGCGAUCAGUAGGGGUUCUGAGAGGAAGGUCCCCCACACUGGCACUGAGAUACGGGCCAGACUCCUACGGGAGGCAGCAGUAGGGAAUAUUGGGCAAUGGACGAGAGUCUGACCCAGCCAUGCCGCGUGCAGGAAGACGGCGUUCUGCGUUGUAAACUGCUUUUAUCUGGGAAGAAAAUGCCCCUGCGGGGGAAAUUGCCGGUACCAGAUGAAUAAGCACCGGCUAACUCCGUGCCAGCAGCCGCGGUAAUACGGAGGGUGCAAGCGUUGUCCGGAUUUAUUGGGUUUAAAGGGUGCGUAGGCGGCUGUUUAAGUCAGUGGUGAAAGACUCCGGCUCAACCGGAGCAGUGCCAUUGAUACUGGACAGCUUGAGUAUUGGAGGGGUACAUGGAAUUGAUGGUGUAGCGGUGAAAUGCAUAGAUACCAUCAGGAACACCGAUAGCGAAGGCAUUGUACUGGCCAAUAACUGACGCUGAUGCACGAAAGCAUGGGUAGCGAACAGGAUUAGAUACCCUGGUAGUCCAUGCCGUAAACGAUGAUUACUCGCUGUUAUGCCUUUAUGGUGUAGCGGCCAAGCGAAAGCGUUAAGUAAUCCACCUGG
rnacentral:rRNA from 1 species